UAUCUGUUCAAUACCAAAUGCGGAGAGCCCA
rnacentral:piRNA from 1 species